GGGGAUCCUGUGCAUGUUUUGAAUUGUUUGUGUUAUCGGCAGCACAUAUAAAUAAAACUACGCAUUAGAUUUUGGUCAUUUAUCAGUAGCUAUCCAACUCGAUCAUUCGGCUUUAAAUUGUAGGUGCAAUAAGUAGAAAUGAAUUCUGAUUUUCUAUUUUAUUUUGGAAAUGUGUUCCUGGGGAUUUUCGCAUUCAGCCUGCAGAUUGCGGCAUUAGCAGUUAGUGAUGCAACCUACAUCCCGGAUUUGGUGUGUACGGGUAUCUGAGGUGGAGCCUUCCUCGUCUUGUUUGCUUCUUUGCUGAAAAAACGAAUGCUGAAUAGUGGUAGCAUCAAAGUUCUGGCAGUCUAUUCCAUAUGGAUAGGCUUCACUUUAAUUGGGUUGCACGCGUGGAGCAUUAGCUUGUACAGUGAUUUGAUCGAUUUCUGUGAAUUGUUUAUAUUUAGUAACGAAAUUGGAUUAUGUGGCCGAGUCGCCAUCGACUCGUUGUUGAUUUGCAGCGGUGGUCUUAUCGUCAUCCUCAACGUGUUUAUAGGCUCAAAAGCUGCUUAUAUGGUUAACGUCUUGGCUUAAAACAUUUGGCACAAUAUACACACUGUUUACCUACUAAAUGUAAAACAAAACGAAAUAAAUAUUACUACAACGUU